GUGCCAGCCGCCGCGGUAAUACGGGGGGUGCAAGCGUUGUUCGGAAUCAUUGGGCGUAAAGAGCGUGUAGGCGGCUGAAUAAGUCAGAUGUGAAAUCCCUGGGCUCAACCCAGGAAGUGCAUUUGAAACUGUUCGGCUAGAGUAGGGGAGAGGGAAGUGGAAUUCCUGGUGUAGAGGUGAAAUUCGUAGAUAUCAGGAGGAACACCGGUGGCGAAGGCGACUUCCUGGCCCUAUACUGACGCUGAGACGCGAGAGCGUGGGGAGCAAACAGGAUUAGAAACCCGUGUAGUCC
rnacentral:rRNA from 1 species